rnacentral:tRNA from 1 species
AGACGAAUAACUCCAAUGGUAGAGUAGCCCGUUGAAGCCGGGUGUGUACAAGUUCGAAUCUUGUUUCGUCCGCCA